GCCUAUUCUGUGACCUUGAGACUUUAUCACCAGGCAGCAAAACAAAAUAUAACAAAUCUUCCGGAAAAAAAAGCUAUGACCUAUUCUCCAGCCUCCAGACCACAUCCAGGAGGCCAUAAAAACAUGAGAGCACCCUUGACAAAAGUGUUCUACAAGACGGUCCCUGUCUGCCCCGAGGCAUAUCACACUGGCUACAGACAAGAAAUUCCUUCAUUAUCGGAGAAACGUUGAAGGAUGAGUCAGGAAACUUCUACAUCAGCAUUAUCAUGAAUAAUAAACUACAUGCUAUAAUAUUUCCCAGCAGUACUCUUAAGACAGUCAAUAAGGUGGAAAAAAAAAUAAUCUUUAACUGUGUAACAUCAGUCUUCAGCAUAGUGUUUAAAUUAUAUUAGCGCUGUGCUCUGUAAAUAAAUAAAUAAACAAGCAGAAGGUUCAGAAAGCACAGCCAAGCAAGUUUAAUCUUGACGUAAGGCCGUGAUGUUUUAUUCAUGUGAUGAGAAGAGAGC